rnacentral:lncRNA from 1 species
UUGUAUAUACUGACCUUGUUCCUACAACAUUCUAAACUCACAUAUUAGUAACUAAAAACAUUGAUUUUUUUAUAGAUGUUAUCACUUUGAACCUUACUGGAAAGUCACAAGGACCCUCAAAAGGGAAUAAAGACAGACUUUGUAUCUCUAAAAUAUCACCACUGUCGUCUUCUUCCUGGUGACUUUGAUAACUACACUGGCCACAAUUUUAGCAGUCAAAAAACACAAAUCUUCCACUGAACGUAUGUCGUGCUUGAAUGGCUGGAUUGGCUACCUGGGAAAGUGCUUCUAUUUUUCUGAAAAUACAAGAACCUGGGCAGCAAGCCAGAACUUCUGUGCCCCUCAUGCAGCCACUCUUGCUGUCUUCAACACCACAAAAGAACUGGAUUUCCUGAAACAAUAUUCUAACCAUUCUCAGUAUUGGAUUGGAUUGAGUUGAGGACCAGGACAGACCUGGAAGUGGAUAGAUGGAACCAUAUACGGUGGUUGGUAAGUCCUGGGUAUAUAAUUUAUACACCUAAGGCCUGGGCUCUGAGUCCUCUGCCACCACAGAGAGAUCUGAGUUACAAUCCAUACACACCAUUCUCCUGGAAGCUUCCUUUGUGGUGGAGAAUAAAAUGAGCCCAGAGAAAAGCGGUAAUGUAAAUAUUAUUGUACAAAGUAUUUAAUACCUACAAUAUUCCAAACAAUGCUUUAUUAUCAUGAUCUCAUUUGACCUGCACAACAACUGCGGAAAGUAGGUAUAGUUAUCUCCACUUUACUUGAUGUUCAAAGAUGUAAAUACCUACAGUAUUUUACAACACAUAUUUAAAUGUAUUUGGAAAUAAAUCCUGCACUUCUCCAUCAUAUAGGUUAUAGAUUUUUCAAGUUUAUAAAGCCACAUUUUAGGUCAAAGCAUACGAAUUCAUUUUGCUUUAUAUUCAAACACUGCAGUGUUGGGUUACAGUAAAAGCUCACAGCAGAGGAAAUUUUUUUCUCAAAUUGUUCCAGCCCAUGCUCACCCAAUCCAUUGCCUUUUAUUUUUCUUUCUGUGUUUUGUUUCAGGUUUAAAAUAAUUGGAAUUGGAGAAUGCGCCUAUCUACACAAAAUUGGAAUUAGCAGUGCCAGUUCGCACUUGGUUAGAAAAUGGAUUUGCAGCAAACCAGACCCAUGUAUACCCAGAAGUUAAGACAUCAUAGAUCUAAGAUAUUUUACACAAAAUGUAGUUUUUAUUCCUUCUAAAAGGAAUAUAUUAUAUUAA